AAGACCGUACUAAUAACUGGAGGUCAAGUCUGGUGCCAGCAUCCGCGGUAAUUCCAGCUCCAGGGGUGUCUAUGAUGAUUGCUGCGAUUAAAAAGUCCGUAGUCGAGCUGACUGACUGACCUGCAAUGUGGUUGAUUAAAAGACGAGCAGGGUUAGGAAAGCAGAGAAUUAGGAGCGACCGAGGGCUAGAGUAUUGAAUGGCGAGAGGUGAAAUUUGAUGACCCAUUCAGGAGUGACAAAGGCGAAGGCACUAGUCAAGGGCGAAUCCGAUGAUCAAGGACGUAGGCUAGAGUUUCGAAAACGAUUAGAGACCGGAGUAGUUCUAGCAGUAAACUAUGCCGACACCGUGGUAUUAAUUUUUUAGUAUUGCGGAAGAGAAAUCAAGUAAGGCUUUGGGGAGAGUACGCGCGCAAGCGAUAAAUUUAAAGGAAAUUGACGGAGGAACACCACAAGGAGUGGAGUGUGCGGCUUAA
rnacentral:rRNA from 1 species